rnacentral:rRNA from 1 species
CAGUAGCCGCGGGAAUACGUAGGGUGCAAGCGUUAAUCGGAAUUACUGGGCGUAAAGCGUGCGCAGGCGGUGUUGUAAGACUGAUGCGAAAUCCCCGGGCUCAACCUGGGAACUGCAUUGGUGACUGCAACGCUGGAGUGCGGCAGAGGGGGAUGGAAUUCCGCGUGUAGCAGUGAAAUGCGUAGAUAUGCGGAGGAACACCGAUGGCGAAGGCAAUCCCCUGGGCCUGCACUGACGCUCAUGCACGAAAGCGUGGGGAGCAAACAGGAUUAGAUACCCCCGUAGUCCCUGUCUCUUAUAC